rnacentral:rRNA from 1 species
AACGUACGCUGGCGGCACGCCUAACACAUGCAAGUCGAACGAAGUAGCAAUACUUAGUGGCAGACGGGUGAGUAACAUGUAGGUAUCUGCCCUUUGGCCUGGAAUAACACGAGGAAACUUGUGCUAAUACCGGAUAAGUCUUUACGGAGAAAGCUUUAUGCACCAUUGGAUGAGCCUGCACUUGAUUAGUUUGUUGGUGGGGUAAUGGCCUACCAAGACUGUGAUCAAUAGCUGAUUUGAGAGGAUGAUCAGCCACAUUGGGACUGAGACACGGCCCAAACUCCUACGGGAGGCAGCAGUGGGGAAUCUUGCACAAUGGAGGAAACUCUGAUGCAGCGAUGCCGCGUGAGUGAAGAAGGCCCUUGGGUUGUAAAGCUCUUUCGUCGGGGAAGAAAAUGACUGUACCCGAAUAAGAAGGUCCGGCUAACUUCGUGCCAGCAGCCGCGGUAAUACGAAGGGACCUAGCGUAGUUCGGAAUUACUGGGCUUAAAGAGUUCGUAGGUGGUUGAAAAAGUUAGUGGUGAAAUCCCAGGGCUUAACUCUGGAACUGCCAUUAAAACUUUUCAGCUAGAGUAUGAUAGAGGAAAGCAGAAUUUCUAGUGUAGAGGUGAAAUUCGUAGAUAUUAGAAAGAAUACCAAUUGCGAAGGCAGCUUUCUGGAUCAUUACUGACACUGAGGAACGAAAGCAUGGGUAGCGAAGAGGAUUAGAUACCCUCGUAGUCCAUGCCGUAAACGAUGUGUGUUAGACGUUGGAAAUUUAUUUUCAGUGUCGCAGGDGAAACCGAUAAACACACCGCCUGGGGAGUACGACCGCAAGGUUAAAACUCAAAUGAAUUGACGGGGACCCGCACAAG